ensembl:lncRNA
CUUGCUUUAGAGCGGGACGUGCCCUCUGGCUCUCAUGAACAAUCCUAAUCUCCAUCCAUGGAGCACUGCAAGUCGAAGGAGCAGAACACCCAGCAACAUCAUCUGAGAAAUGAAUGGAUAUGCUGGAGCAGGGGUCGAGGGGACUGUCCCCUUUGCCGUGACACCCUCCAGUUCUCUUUGGGGACUCAGGGAUCUGCCGAGCAUUGCUUGGGGUCGGAUUGGGAACUGUGGCUUUGGACACACGUUUGCCUGUACCAACCAGGGAUGAGACGGUCUUGGAUUUUGCAAGGACCUGACAUGUGCAGAGAAGAGUACCUGGAACCCUUAAUCGACUGGCUCUGGCAGGCUGCUGAGGGCAAGAGAGCACGAGGGGUAUUACGAAAGGAAAGUGAAAGCGGGAUGGGUGGACGAGAGUCCAGGCCGACUGUUCUUGGAUGCAUGAUUAAAAAGUUCAGGAAGGGCUUUGGAGACGACUCUGGCGUAAAGUUAACCCCAAACAAGCUGGAAAACCUUUUGUGAGAUAGACUGGCCAUCCUUUGGGGGUAGGAUGGCCCUCAGAGGGAAUCCUAAAACUGAACCGAGUUUGGGCUGUGUGCUCUGUGGUAACCAGGCAGCCAGGCCACCCAGAUCAGUUUCCAUACAUUGACUCAGGGCUACUAAUUGCGCAAAACCCAUCCCCUUGGGGCCUGGGUUUGUUACCUUAAAAAAGAAGAGAGCAAGAUUUUGCUGUCUCAGGCAGAACCCAGGCAAGAAAACCUGAAAAAGAAAAGAAAAGAAAAAACGUGUAUAUAUAUCAUGAUCCAGAGGAAGAGGAGCUCCCAUCUCCUCUCCUCCACUGGAGAACACAGCAGCGACUCCCAGAGCAGGAGGAGGAGGUAAGGAAAGAGGGAGAGUCUCCUCCCCACCUCCCCUGGUGGAGGAGGCUCCUUGAGUCGAUGGAAGGGACUGUGCCAGUGUUAUAUCCCUCCCUCCGCAGUUCAGGAAGGAAAAAGGGAGAGCCGAGUGUUCAGAGGCGGCUGAGGUCUACAAAAAACCCUGAGAGAGAGGUUUUGCAGAUGCCUCUUAGGGAAGUCCAGGUGGCACCGCAGGUGGGGUCAGAUGGGCACAUUCAUCCUGGUCCCACUGCUCUUUAUGGCCAGCCAUUCUCCGUAUAUAAGGAAAGGGGGCUCUUAACUGCAACUGACAAAGAGAUUAAAAAAUGAAUAAAUAAAGAGAAAGUUCUGCUGCUGUUGGAAGCAGUGUGGGAGCCCGCUGCAGUAGCUGGAAUGCACUGUAGGGGCCACCAGUGGUUGGACACACCUCAGGCUGAAGGGAACUGUCUGGCCAACCCAGUGGCCAAAGCAAGCAGCCGCUCAGGACCAUAUAGCAACCAAACGUAUGGUGACGCCUGUGUUGUCUAGCCUAUUAACCACCCAAGCAGGCCCAGUCUAUGACAAGGCGAAAAAAACACCACCUGGGCACGAACUGAGUGAGGUUUCAGCUUGCUAUUUUUCAUACUGUGUCUAAUAGCCUUGUGUGCAGAUGCAAGCCGCUGAUGCGUAACCUGUGCCAAGAAUAACCCGUCUCCCAAGGAGACCGUGCCUCCCGGAAUACAAUUAAAGGGGACUGCUCCAUUUAAACUUCUUGAAGUGGACUUCACUGAGGUAAAGCCAUGCUGAGGAUACAAAUAUUUGCUGGUGAUGGGAUGCACUUUUACGGGAUGGGUAGAAGCUUACCCCACCAAGACUGAAAAAGCGAAAGAAGUGGCCUGAUUCUUCCUGGGAGACAUUAUUCCUAAGUUUGGGUUCCCUCUGAGUAUAGAAUCAGAUAAUGGGACCGCAUCUGUGGCUGAAUUACUCCAACUAGUCUGCAAAGCAGUAAAUAUUAAAUGGAAAGUACUUACAGUGUACAGGCCACAAAGCUCAAGACUGGUUGAGAGAAUGAACCAGACCAUCAAGGUGACUUUGGCAAAAUGGGUGCAGGAAACUGGUGACCCGCUGGAUGGACCCCCUGGAUGGAUGUGCUGCCACUAGUGUUAACGAGGAUCAGAAUGACCACCGCAAGGUUAUUCCCCCUAUGAAAUAAUGUUCGGGAGGCCUCCCCCACUUAUUCAGGAAGUAAAGGGAAAUUUAUUACAAAGAGGAGGGAUGGAGGUAUUGGCGGCAACUGGAACAGUUGGGAAAGGUGAUCCAUGACAUCACCCCUUAUGUUCAAAAAAAUUGCCCUUUUUUGCGAUACUUACUGUGCACCCAUACUCGCCAGGACAUUUAGUAUGGAGAAAGGACUGGAAGCAACAGCUGCUGUCCAUGCACCCCCACCCACCCACCUCACCCCUGGAAAGGGCCAUACACUAUUGUACUAGCCACUCCCACUGCAGUUAAAGUUGCAAGUUGCAGGUAUUACUCCCUAGAUUCACCACAUCCAGCUCAAGACAACAGCGGAGGAAAGGGGACUUUGGACCACCCAUCCUAACCCAGGGGAAACUCUGAAGACCCAACUCAUCUUCCAUUGGCAACCAGGGAUUCAGAAUGGAGCCACUGUGAGUAAUUCUGCUAUUCCUGAUUGGUACGAUGACCCUACCAGGACUGCAAACUCAGGAUAAUGUGUUCCUGUCCUGGGCCCACUCGUAUGCAAACUUUCAUAAUAUUUCUAACUGUUAGGCUUGAGGGGGCCACGACUUUGUCAGUGAGGGAUGGACUUCCUUGGUGGGUGUCUCCCCUAUGCAGAGGGGACUUCAGCUCCUUCUGCUCGUUUUUGAGACAGCAAUGAGAGGCAUUUGCUUCCUUGUGACUCACAACCUGUCACUUCUUACUUGGUGUAACCUGGACUUUAACCAAAUUGGUCAAAGCCAGGGGGUAAGAGUUGAGGUAAACGUAAGCCUUACAAAAGUGACUAAAGCCUGUACCUUUUACUUUAAAAAAAUAAAAAGAAUGAGAACUCAGUGGCUGGUAAGAAGGGCCAAUCCAUCAGGUAAUCUGAACAAUUUUAGCAGACAUGGGAUGAAUAUUUUUGGAUGACUCCAGAAAAAGGCCAACCUAUUGUCCCUGCCCCUAUCUGUUGGGGAACAAAAGGAAUAAGAAAUUGGAUUUGGUGACUGUCCCGUAGAUCCAAAAGAAUUAAAAUAUGUGAGAUACUUAUCCUCUGAGCAAUGUGAACAAAUAGUAGAGGUCACUUAUUGCCCAGAUUUACCAGCUCGCUGGCCUGGCUCAGACGGAAAGUACAACCCUGGGAUCCAAUGGGUGGCCCCUAACGGCCCCCAGUGGCUGUGUGGAUCGCGUUUAUGGCCUUGGCUUCCAGUCAGUUGGGUCAGCUGCUGCACUUUCGGAUUUGCCUUUGCUCAUGGAAAUAUUAAGCCAUCCUUGCAACAAGCCCCAGUAAAUUUGCUUUAUUUUCAUGUACAGUGGGCAAGGCCUGUGAUGAUGAAAAUACAAGCUCAAGUAACAUCAUGAAACAGGCCCUCCUAGACAACACAGAGGCAUUCCAAGUUUUAAAUGAAGAUCAAACACAAAGGAGAAAGGCAGUGAUUCAAAAUUGGAUGGCUUUAGACAUACCUACAGCCACCCAAGGAGGGACCUGUGCUAUAAUUAAAACUGAGUGUUGUGUUUAUAUCCCUGAUUUAUCUAGCAAUAUAUCAGCCACUCUAGAUGACAUGAAAAGCCAGGUAAAAACUAUGUCUCCUCCCUUUUAGAUGUCAGUAUUUUCUUGGAUCAAAGGUGAUUGGUGGAAAAUAUUUUUGUAAUUAUUUUGUUAAUCAUUACAUUAUAAAUCUGGGGGCCUUGUAUUCUUCAGUGUAUAACUCGAUGUGUAACCUCUAGACUGACAGCCCUGCUGCAGUUGCAUAGUCCCCUUGUACAAUACCUGCCCAUGACUGAUGCCCAUCAUUAAAGAUAAGAUGAACAUCAAGAGAUGGGGAUGCUGGGGCCUGUGUGAGGAAAGCGGGAGAGACUCCAUCUUGAAGCCUGCCAUCCUUCUUAAAGACAGGAUGUGAACUGGGCCUGAACCCUGCCCAAGAGUGAGGAAACUGUUGCUAGUAGAAAGCAGGUCUCUUGGAGACUUCCCUCCCUGUAGAUGACAAACGGAGAUUAUAGUUGAGGUCAGGCUGCCCCUGUUAGGUUAACCAUGGAGACAUCCCCGCUUGAUGUAACAUCAUUGUUCCCCUCCUUUAGCCUAAAUUGCUUGUUCUCCUAGCACCUACUUGUUGUAAAACUCAAUCAUAUAGAGCAAAGAGGUUGUUAACAUGUAACCAGUCACACAGUGGUGAGCAAAGUCGCUCAGUCGUGUCCGAUUUUUUGUGUCCCCAUGCACAGUAGCCUACCAGGCUCCUCCGUCCAUGGGGUUUUCCAGGCAGUAAUACUGGAGUGGGUUGCCAUUUCCUUCUCCAGGGAAUCUUCCCUACCCAGGGAUAGAAGCUGGGUCUCCUGCAUUGCAGGCAGACACUUAACCCUCUGAGCCACCAGGGAAGCCUGGUGUGUGUGUGUAGGGGGUGGUAUAAAAUUGGGCCUCUCAGAAACAUCAGGAUCCUUGUUGAGAACUGAUUCCCCUUGGACCCACUGGCAUAAUAAACUGUACUCCACUAUCUUGAGUGUCCCCCGAGGUGUGUUGUGCAAUUCCAGAUUCCACAGCACAGAGUCAAACACGACUGAGCGACUGAACAACCCGAAUCGACUCUCCCGUUCACUCUGGUCCUCACCGGUGGGACUCUGGUUUCUCAGACACACUGGAGGCGUGGCUCCCAUCCUCUACCAUAGAGGCCAGGUGCACCCCAGCCUUUACCCAGCUGUGCGGCCCAAAUUUUGAACAGCCUAUGCAGCUAGCAUUGUGCUCCUUGAGGAUGCAUCCUGUCCAGGUGGUGCCCAGGUAACCUGAGACACAGCAUAGAUGGGAGGCACAGCGAGAGGACGAGCCCUCGUCAGAACACACGAGAAUUCCGCUGUGUGUGUCUGAGAGCAAACCAGGGCUGCAAAGUCACCGGGAGACAAGAGCAGUCUCUGGAGGCGCAGCUUAGUCCCUUCAUAUCUACAGCCCCCAAAUCCAGCGUCUGAAAAGAUGAUUGAAAACCACAGCCAAACGACCUGGCAGGUAAGUACAGAGCAUCCUCAGGUUCCAUUGUCUUUACCUUCCUGUCUCCCACUGGGGUCAGCAGGCAGGCUUUUGUCCAUGACCCCCUCAGAGGGUAGCAUCUCCCAGGGACUCAGAAGCAUCUGGAAGUCAAGCCAUGCGGACACUGAGUAGAAAGAGUGGAAAUGAAGAGAAGUCCCCCAACUUCUCUUCCGGUGCUCCUACAUCCCGCCCCUCACACUCCUGUUCUUCCUGUUCAUACCCGCCCCCUGCUUCAUCUGGAUAAAUCUUACUGUCUUGGAGGCACAGCCCGCACCCCAACCCUCCUCAGGGGACCUUCAUGAAAGCUCCAUCCUACACCGCUCUCUCCUUCCUCCCAACCCCACACACGGGCUAUGCGGUUAAUUCCAGCACUUACUGAUAAGUCCUUCUGUGGUCUGCCCUGGUUUUGUGCAUCACAGGGUGACUUGUUACCCCAGCAAAGCUGGGGUUCAGUGGACCAGAGGGAGGCCUCAGACCCGGUCCAAAUCCGGGCAGCAGCUUACUCACUUUAAGGCACAGCUUUCUCGUCUGUGGGGCUUCCCUGGUGGCUCAGAUGAUAAAGAAUCUGCCUGCAAUGUGGGAGACCUGGGUUCGAUCCCUGAGUCUGGAAGUUCCCUUGGAGAAGGAAAUGGCAACCCACUCCAGUAGUCUUGCCUGGGAAACUCCAUGGACAGGGAAGCCUGUUGGGCUAGGGUCCAUGGGGUCGCAAAGAGUCAGACAUGGCUGAGUGACUAACACUUUGUCCAUAUAGUGGGGUCCGUCCUACCCACUCAGGGGAUGACCGUAGGGAGCAAAGGGGUAUGCAAAGCACAUAGAGUAAGAGCUGGCGUAGAAUAACUGCUUAGACCAGUGUCUGUUGGAAUAAAGAGGAUGUCAUGUCUGUGAGUUCAAGGCUCUCUUCCUCCCCACACUCAGAGUGGAACUGGUGGUCUCCCGACGGAGAUGACAUGCAAAUAUCACCUACGCGUCAUGCAGGGGUCGGUUCCACUAGCGAUGCGAAACUGCUCAGCGGCUGGUUAAACAGCCUGCCCCUCAGCAUUGAGUGAGAGGUGAGAGCUUGACACUGACCUGCUUGGCCAGUGUGUCUUGGGAAGUGGCCCACAGUCAGAACAGAGCUCCCAGAGGCCUGGGGACCAUGUGUCCCCCGACCUUCUGGGGGCCUCUUUCAGCCCACACUUCAUAAAUCUGCCUUUGAUGAGGAUGGGCAGUGACGUGGAGAAGCUCCUCAGCGGGGAGGUGCCAGGAGCCCUGCGCAGGAGGCUCUGUCAGCGCCUGUGAUGAAAUGAGCAGAGGGGGCCAGCUGCCUCUGUCUUGGACAUGGAUGCACUCAGUCCACACCCUUGGCCGGUGAAGGAGGGGAGCUGCCCAUGAGGCCGCCUUGCUCUCGGGCCCGAACGUGACGCAGGAGAGAAACUAGCUCCUCGCAGCCCAUGUGGGACCCCGAUGCCUGAACCUCUGGUCUCAGACCAGAGGGACUCAGACCUGGAAUGGUUGUCUCUGGAUCUCAUUCCAUGCUAGGGUGAGAUCGCACAGAGCAGCAGAGACCCCAGGUGGGGAGGAGCCCCAAUCAUCUUGGCAAAGUUCCUCAAAGUCCGCUGCUGCACUGAAAAGAGGGUUGGAUGCAGGUCCAUAGCGGGUGCCGUCUGCUGUCUGGACUGGUCCAUUUGUGCCUGGCUUGAGGUUGCUGGCUCUUUCUGAGUCUUUCUUGCUCCUCUGAUGAGUGCAGGGAAUAAUUUGGCCCCAUUGGAGCUGAGAGUGUUGUUUUUUUUUGUUUUUUUUUUUUAAAUCACUGAAUUCCUUAGUUUCCAGUAGGAAUGCUAACCAUUUCUAAUGAAUAUGUAUGCUUGCGUGCUCAGUCAUGUCCAACUCUUUGCAACCCCAUGGACUACAGCCCAAUGGACUCCUCCGUCCACGGAAUUCUCCAGGCAAGAAUACUGGAGGGGGCUGCCAUUUCCUUCUCCAGGGGAUCUUUUUGACUCAGGGAUUGAACCCGCAUCUCUUAAGUCUCCUGCAUUGGCAGGUGGGUUCUUUACCACUAGCACCACCCGGGGGGAAGGCCUGGCUGUUCAUUCAGAGAGAACCAUGUAAGCUGAUCCUUGCGAUGGUCUGCCUUUCCCCAAGUCAUUCAGAAGGAUUGAGGGCUUCUGGGAUACAGCCCCAGCUGCCUCCCCCCAGCAACCACAGGGUCCAGGCAGCGCCCAGCUGUCUGAUGUCUGCUCCACCCGUAGGGUCUGCUCUGCAGAACUCCUGGCUCCAUCUGGUCCCCACCAGGGGGAGGUGCUGGAGUGCUCCAUCCGAGAGAAGCGGCAAGGAAGCACCAUGCUGCCUGCCUGGCCCUCUCUGCUCUGACUGCCUCUUCUCCUGGAGGUCCCGCAUAUCAGUUUGGAAGACACUGAUGGGGACAGACUGCUGGGAGCUGGAUGCUUCUUCCUCCAGCCCUUCCUCCCUCACCUCCUCCCACUCUUUCUCCCCACCCCUUCCCCCUUUCCCCAAUAACUUGAACAUUUUAAUCAAUAUGGUGCCUCUCCAGGGUCUCCAUGCCAUCACUGUAAUUUGCCGUGGUUCCGCUGGUGAAUUUUCUUUUCCCUUCUAAUGGGAAACAGAAUCGUUUCCAUGAUAGAAGCCGACUGGUCCAGAGAGGCCUCCGCAUAGAGAGAGCUCUGAAGAAAGGAGACAGCUGGCUGAAAAGAGAGAAGGGAUUUGGGGAACUGAAAUUCCUUCUGAUAUUGGACUUCAACGUGGAAAAUUCACUACCCUGCAUUGCUCAAAUACCUCUGAGUCAGAACAGAAGGGAUAUCAGUUCAUUUGUUAGCUCUGGGUAGGAAUUUGCGGCCUUGGGUUUUACAGGAUUUUCUUCUCUGGCUGGAGAGAUGCCCGUUAUGCUGGAGCUGGGUCUAUACUCCUCUCUUACCUCGUAGUCUGGGCUGAUCUCAGUGGUUCCUCAGUGAUCCGUCCUUCUGUCUUCUAGAAGGAAGGCAUUCAAACUGCCCCAGAGAGAAUGCUGCCUUUAGCCAUGCUCACCCAUCUCUUCAGAUGUAAGAGCGGGGAUGUCCUUGUGAGGUGUAUUGGCAGGAGCCUAGGACCAAGGCUGGAAGACCCAGCUCCGGUCCCACCCUUCUCAUUCACCUGCCCAGGAGGUGAAUUCAUUGGCCCAGGAGCAACCAGGCUUGUGAAAAUCAAUAAAGGAACCUCACUGAAGUGGAGUCCGUGUGAGGCAGUCCAAGCGCGAGUUGGAAAAGAAUUUCCAGACACAGAGUGUUUUAGAAGCGAGAGAAUUUAUUGAGAACAAAGAGUGGAGGUAGUAGGGGUGCCUCAAAGACAGAGGGCUGACUCCCUAACUUCCUAUACAGUCCACGGAAUUCUCCAGGUCAGAAUACUGGAGUGGGUAGCCAUUCCCUUCUCCAGGGGAUCGUCCCAACCCAGGGAUUGAACCCAGGUCUCCUGCAUUGCAGAUGGAUUCUUUACCAGAUGAGCCACAAAGGAAGCCCAAGGAUACUGGAGUGGGUAGCCUAUCCCUUCUUCAACGGAUCUUCCCAAGCCAGGAAUCAAACCUGGGUCUCUUGCAUUGUAGGCAGAUUCUUUACCAACUGAGCUAUCAGGGAAGCCCGACAGACUGGGGAGAUCCGACUCCUAUAGUGGGCUUGUGGCCAAACUUUAUAGUCUCAGGACAAAGAAAAUUCCUAUGGGAAGGGGUGGCGUUAAGUCAUUGGUCUUUUGGUGCCCACCUUGCCCAAUAUAGAGAUGGGAGCUGUCCGCUUAGGGGCAGGAUGGCUCAUGACGAACAGGAUGGCUCAUGCAAUACUUGCCAUGGAGUAUUGGUCAUUCUGGAAAUUUUGCCCUACGACUCCAGCAUGGGGCUCCAGAGUUGGGAGGCCAGGAGACUAGGCUCAGCUACUGAUGUCAAUUACAGAAGCUCCCCCUGACAGAAGAACCAUCCAUUGGAAAGAAUAAUUGAUUACAGAAAAAGAUGGUUGUUGUAGCUCCUGCAAGAAAUUGACUUCCCUGCAACUCAGUGAAGGAGAAACUGCCACCACCUUGAACUCUGACUCUUCUCCAACAGACUUUCAUUUCAGACAAUACCUCAUAAUGCCUUCCUUUUCUCUAUAAAAUAAUGUUCCUCUCUUUUGUUUGUUAGACUUGCCUGUGGUUUUUGCCAUGGCCUGCUGACCCUGUAUUGCAAUUCUCUGCUACUCUUGAAUACACCUAUUUUUGCUGGUAAAAUAUUCAACCUUAAAAAGGAAGGAAAUUCUUACAUAGGCUGCAACAAGGAUAAACCCCGAGAACACUAUGCUAAGUGAAAUAAGCCAGCCUCAAAAAGAAGAAUACUGCAUGGUGCCACUCAUAUGAGUCUCAUAGAAUAUUCAAAUUCACAGAGAGAGAAAGUAGAAUGGUGAUUGCCAAGGGCUGGAGACUGGGGGGAAAGAGCGUUGUUGUUUAAUGGGUACGGACUUUCCAUUUUGCAAGCUGGAAAGAGUUCUGAAAACUGAUUGCACAAUAUGGGGUGAAUGUAUGUAGCAGUAUUGCCCAGCAAGAUGGUUAACAGGUUAAAAAUAAAAGCAGUGGUAGCUCUGACGGAGAUAAGAACUAUAGACUUAUUCCAGAGGGGACAUCAGUUUAGGAUGCGUUCCCAGGAGUAGAAGGUAGAAAAGACAGGAGGUUCCUGGGCUCCAAGGGCAGUCAGAUGAGGCUCCACUGGGCAGGAGAGAAAAUGCUCCUUGUCAGUCUCACUGGCUUCACUAUCCAGCCUGCAGCAUUCUCAUCCUUGCUGCUGCUGCUGCUAGGUUGCUUCAGUCGUGUCCGACUCUGUGCGACCCCAUAGACGGCAGCCCACCAGGCUCCCCCAUCCCUGGGAUUCUCUAGGCAAGAAUACUGGAGUGGGUUGCCAUUUCCUUCUCCAAUGCAUGAAAGUGAAAAGUGAAAGGGAAGUUGCUCAGUCAUGUCCGACUCUUCGCGACCCCAUGGACUGCAGCCUACCAGGCUCCUCCGUCCCUGGGAUUUUCCAGGCAAGAGUACUGGAGUGGGGUGCCAUUGCCUUCUCCAUUCACAUCCUUAGAGGGAGCUAAAGUCGACUGGAUUUCCAUGUGAGUGGUGGAACUGUGGUCCUGGAGACAAGGGUAUGAGCGAGAUGAAGCUUGGAGGGAAUAGCCCUUAAUCUCUCUUAAUCUUACUUAGCAUUUUAAGAAAAUGAAAGUGAAGUCAUUCAGUCAUGUCCUACUCUUUGAGACGCCAUGGACUGUAGCCCACCAGGCUCCUCUGUCCAGAGGAUUUUCCAGGCAAGAGUACUGGAGUGGGUUGCCAUUUCCUUCUCCAAGCAUUUCAAGAGCAUGGAUCUUAUUUUUCUAGCUUGAGCCAGUAGAGGACAAGCAUUGAGCUUGAUGUCUCCUUAUACCUCUUUUAGCCCUUUUAUUCUGACGAAGGCAUUUUGAUAGGCUGCCUGACACUGAUUUCAAGCAUACAGUGGGCUUUGGGCUUUACAGCCUAGCAGCUCUUGCAUGUGUGUUAAGUCACGAGUCAUGUCUGACUCUUACCACCCCAUGAAUUAUAGCUUGACAGUCUCCUCUGUCCAUGGGAUUCUCCAGGCAAGAAUACUGGAGUGAAUUUCCAUGGCCUCCUCCAGUGGAUCUUCCAGACUCAGGGAUUGAACCCACAUCUCUCAGGUCUCCUGCAUUGGUAGGUGGGUUCUUUACCACUAACACCACCUUCUAAGCCCAGAAGCCCCUUAGACAACAUCUUAACCCUGAUUUCCUAGAGAGAAGAGCCUGAAUCAAAAAGAAAUCAAGCUAAUCUAGUUGGGAGGCAUGAAUGACAGAAAGGGUUGUAAGACACUGAUGGGGGUCAGAGAAAAUAUGAGGCUGUGGUAUCAUGCUGGCCAUGACUAGGUACCCAGAACAGUUCAUCCAGAAGAAGGAAGGAGGGAAAGGCAUUCACCAGCUCCUAGGCCCCGUUGGUCAAAGGUUCACCCAAUGUGCAUUGGCUCCCUUGAGCUUUCAGGUUGACUCUGGGUGGUUACCUGUUAGAUUCUUCCUGUUUCAACGGGAAACUCUAAGGUGGGAGCAGAGAAGACAGAACAGGGGGCAUGAAGUCAGGGCUCUUGUGUUGUGUUUGCAGGGAAUCAGCUGCAUUUUCAGCAGAAGAAGCAGAUGAGGGAUAGAGACACAGGUGAUACUGGAAGGAUCUGGGUGGUUCAACAAACGGAAGAGACUGAUUCUAUAGAGGAAAACUGAGACAUUCCAUUGUGACAUCUCUUUCUUGUUUGUUAUUUUUAAUGUAACCCGAUCGGCUUCCCUGAUGGCUUAGCAGGUAAAGAAUCUGCCUGCAAUGCAGGAGACACAGGAGAUGUGGGUUUGAUUCCUGGGUUGGGAAGAUCUCCUGGAAGAAGGCACGGCAACCUCCUCCAGUAUGCUGGCCUGGAGAAUCCCAUGGACUGAGGAGCCUAGUGGGCUAUCGUCCAUGGGGUCACAAAGAGUAGGACACGUCUGAGCACAUGCAUAUGCAAGUCUAUUUUAUCAGAAUAUAUAAACUGCAUUCUGCAACUCAGCUGGUGCAACAUUUUUAAUAAGUAAAUUUUUUUCAUUAAUUUUAUUUCUGGUCAUGCUGGGUCUUUGCUGCUGUUUGCAGGCUUUCUCUGGUUGCGGCAAGCGGGGCCUGCUCUCCAGUUGUGGUGCUCAGGCUUCUCACCGCAGUGGCUUCUCUUGUUGCAGAGCACUGGCUCUAACCCACAGGCUCAGUACUUGUAGCACAUGGGCUUAGUUCCUCUGCGGCAUGUGGGAUCUUCCUGGACUCGGGAUCGAACCUGUGUCUCCUGCAUUGGCGGGCAGAUUCUUAACCACUGAGCCACCAAGGAAGCCCUCAGUUCAGUUUAGUUCAGUCACUUAGUCAUGUCCAACUCUUUGCGACCCCAUGAAUCACAGCACGCCAGGCCUCCCUGUCCAUCACCAACUCCCAGAGUUCACUCAGACUCACGUCCAUCGAGUCAGUGAUGCCAAGCCAUCUCAUCCUCUGUCGUCCCCUUCUCCUCCUGCCCUCAAUCUUUCCCAGCAUCAGGGUCUUUUAAAAUGAGUCAGCUCUUUGCAUCAGAUGGUCAAAGUAUUGAAAUUUCAGCCUCAGCAUCAGUCCUUCCAAUGAACACCCAGGACUGAUCGCUUUUAGGAUGGACUGGUUGGAUCUUCUUGCAGUCUAAAGGACUCUCAAGAGUCUUCUCCAACAUCACAGUUCAAAAGCAUCAAUUCUUCGGGGCUCAGCUUUCUUUAUAGUCCGACUUUCACAUCCAUACAUGACCACUGGAAAAACCAUAGCCUUGACUAAAUGGACCUUUGUUGGCAAAGUAAUGUCUCUGCUUUUUAAUAUGCUGUCUAGGUUGGUCAUAACUUUCCUUCCAAGGAGUAAGCAUCUUUUAAUUUCAUGGCUGCAAUCACCAUCUGCAGUGAUUUUGGAGCCCAGAAAAAUAAAGUCUGUCACUGUUUCCACUGUUUCCCCAUCUAUUUGCCAUGAAGUGAUGGGACUGGAUGCCAUGAUCCUAGUUUUCUGAAUGUUGAGCUUUAAACCAACUCUUUCACUCUCCUCUUUCACUUUCAUCAAGGGGCUCUUUAGUUCCUCUUCACUUUCUGCCAUAAGGGUGGUGUCAUCUGCAUAUCUGAGGUGAUUGAUAUUUCUCCCAGCCAUCUUGAUUCCAGCUUGUGCUUCCUUCAGCCCAGCAUUUCUCAUGAUGUGCUCUGCUUAUAAGUUAAAUAAGCUCGGUGACAAUAUACAGCCUUGAUGUACUCCUUUUCCUAUUUGGAACCAGUCUGUUGUUCCACGUCCAGUUCUAACUUUUGCUUCCUGACCUGCAUACAGGUUUCUCAAAAGGGAGGUCAGGUAGUUUGGUAUUCCCAUCUCUUUCAGAAUUUUCCACAGUUUGUUGUGAUCCACACAGUCAAAGGCUUUGGCAUAGUCAAUAAAGCAGAAAUAGAUGUUUUUCUGGAACUCUCUUGCUUUUUCCAUGAUC